GACGAACGCUGGCGGCGUGCUUAACACAUGCAAGUCGAACGGAAAGGCCCUGCUUUUGUGGGGUGCUCGAGUGGCGAACGGGUGAGUAACACGUGAGUAACCUGCCCUUGACUUUGGGAUAACUUCAGGAAACUGGGGCUAAUACCGGAUAGGAGCUCCUGCUGCAUGGUGGGGGUUGGAAAGAUUCGGCGGUUGGGGAUGGACUCGCGGCUUAUCAGCUGGUUGGUGGGGUAGUGGCUUACCAAGGCUUUGACGGGUAGCCGGCCUGAGAGGGUGACCGGGCACAUUGGGACUGCGAUACGCCCCAGACUCGUACGGGAGGCAGCAGUGGGAAAUAUUGCGCAAUGGGCGGAAGCCUGAUGCAGCAACGCCGGGUGCGGGAUGACGGCCUUCGGGUUGUAAACCGCUUUCGCCUGUGACGAAGCGUGAGUGACGGUAAUGGGUAAAAAAGCACCGGCUAACUACGUG
rnacentral:rRNA from 1 species